AGAAGCUUCCUGCUUACCCAGAUGGAGAAGACCAGAUCCCAAGAUGGCCAUAAGUCGCCCAAGGAGCUUGGAACAAGGCUGGAGGCAACCAUAUCUGGAGAUGAAUGGACAAAUCCAACUGACCCCAGC